rnacentral:lncRNA from 1 species
CAACAGGAGGCCCGCCUGGGGGCAGUGCGCUGCCGGCCGCGUCACGUGACGCUUCUUGCCAACAGGUCGCCCGAGGCGGGACGCUGGGGUCACAGAGGGCAGUGGUGAACUGUGUGGAAUUGCUGAUGCUGGAGUUGAAACCUGAAUAUGAGGAUGCUCUAAACUGAUUUGCAGCACAGUAAAAAUGGAAGAAUAAGAGCUCUCACCAUGUGCCAUUUUAGGUACAAGCUUCCAUUCCAGCAACUGAAAGGAAACUGAAAAAAAGUUAUGCCAAUACAAAUUCUUAGUCAACUACAUCACACUGUCUGGGAAGAUGUGGAAAUUAUUUGACAAAGAUUGUUCUACAUGGUAUCACUCCAAGCCUUCCAAAUGCUUGAACUUAGCUCCGUCAGUCUUUGUUCUAAGAACCAGAAGUCACCUUUUGUUCUAUCAAAGAGAUAAAAUAAAGAACCCAAAUUGGAGUAAAUUCAGUGUACAAUUUCUAAUUUAGUUCCUAUUCCCUUUUUUAAAGCACAUUUAUUUUUACUCAUGUUCAUUUGGAAAAAAACUGCCGUGUACCUUAAAUCCAAUCAAGGUUUAAGAUUAGGCCCAUUUUUCUCAGACACAUUUUUAAAUACAUACAUAUCUUCAAACCAAAAAGCAGCAAGUAAUUUUGUAUAAAGUGUAUUUGCAUUAAGUACGUUUCUUUUCUUGCCAUGGUUAUAUGGACCAAUGGUGGAUUCGUGUCAAGUUCAGUGAAUCCAAGUGUAACCUGUUUUAGAGGUUGGUUUUUUUGUUGUUGUUUGUUUUUUUGUUUCCCUUUAAAUGUCUCAUGUUGUUUUGCGAAGUCUAUGUAAUUUAAUCUAUCUAAUUAUCCUUUCAACAGAAAAACGUCCCUGGUGUUGCCUUAUGCCAACAAAAACAGUACUAUCUGAUCCAACAAACUAAUGCUCCUGAGACAUCAUACAAUAACAAACCAAUAUGAACAAGGGGAAAAGGAAAGCCAAAUACUCACAAAGAAAAUUAGACAUACAGUUUUGCACUUCUGAGAGGCUAACCUCACAUUUCUUUUAAACAUCAGAUCUCAGGACUGUUGUAGAUGGUAGUGAAUUUCUUAAGCUUGAUUAACAAUUUUUCAGACAAUUUAAAGGUCACAAAUGUUUAAAAAAAAACACUCCUCUUUCUCUGGCUUUGACAGCUAAAGUUUUAUUUCAGAAUUGCACAUUUAUCUGUAAUAUUCCAGACACUGAGAUAAUGACAGUUAAUUAACCUGGCAGUAAUUGUAGUCUAUUUUUCAGGGAAUUAAGCACACACUAUAUCAUGCACCAGACAAAACUUGGUCUUCAAACAGCAGUGCACUUAAUGCUUGAAAUGAAAAUUAGAUACAGAGGUGUUCUUUCAGGGAAUGAAUGAGAAUU